rnacentral:lncRNA from 1 species
CAAAAAAGCACUAAAAGAACACACAUAUAGACAGAAAAGAAACGAGGAAAGCAUAAAAAUGGGGAGCUGAAGAAAAAAACAAAAACUCUCCCCAUCAUUUUGACCAUGGAAACUCCAUGAUUGUUCUCUGAUCCAGCAUCUUAAAGAUUCAACAUAAGCUCUUCCUUAACACCCCAAAUAACCAUGAAAAUCAUGUAAACAUUAACCUGCACCAGCCCCAAGAAAUCAUAAAAAUCAGCCAAAAAGUUCAGCUGAUACAGUCCCGAAACAGCACCAAAAAUGCCACCACAGAUUCGAGUUGAGUUGAUCGAGCUGUCCGUUUGCAAGUCCGACAUUCCGGUCCGUGUUCGGAUUCCCUUCGGCAUCGAAGCUUUUCGGUCCAGGUUUGGAUUCAUAUGUCGUUACUGUAAGGGGAAAGGCUAUCAAUCUUUGAAGUUAAUUUAUUAUUCUAAUUUUAAAAUCCUCUUCUUUUCAUCGUUAUUAGGCUUCAACGAUUGUGAUUGUUCUUCUUGUUUCGUUAUUUGUUUUCUUAGGAUGGUUCAAUUAAAAGUUUUCACUGAUAUCAUUGAUGCAGUAUUUGGGAACAAACACAAAUUAGUUACUCUAUUUUAUUUACUUAGCUUUAUAAACUAUAUGAUUUGUAUGUGAAUUGAUUUUGGGGAUGUUGGGCUAAAAGCUAAACAGGAAUUUUCUAUCAUGGGAUUACUAGUAGAAACAUCUGUUUUUGGUGAGUAUUUUAGACAUAACAAUAAUUUGAGCUGUGAAAGAUUUUUAUCAAUUCUCUAUUUUGCGUUACUAAUUUAAUCGCUAGUAGUAUGAUUAGGCUGACUACACUUGGGUAAGCAAGCCUUAAAAUUUUUGUUAGUUUCGAGGCAAGAGGUCGUUUCCUUAGUUAAAUUUAUCCGGGUAAUGCCGCGUAAUUUGUAUAUAUUUUAUUCGGGGUGUGCCCCAAAGUACUUGUAUUUGGAGGCCUAGAGUGAUACUCAUAGUAGUUUUAUUUAUUUUAUUUUUCUUUUAUUAGGCGGGAACAAACUCAAGCCUUUUGUGUGUUUGUUUUUCUUUUAUGUGUUUGUUUUUAUUUCAAUUUGAAUAUUUUAAAAACCAACUAGAUGAAGUGCGCAACCAUACUAGUUACGGGGAUUGGGGAGUGCCUAACAUCUUCUCCCUGAGUGUGAUGACCCGGCCGGUCAUCUUUGGAAUUUACGCCCCAUUUCCCCAUUAACUACUUCCCCUAAGUUCAUUUCGGCUAUUUUGGUUUGUCGGGACGUUCGGUGUGAGAAUUCGGAAUGUUUUGGGAUACUUAGUCCCUGAAUAAGAGCAUAAGUAUUGAAAAAUGGUCCGUAAUCGGAAUAGUAUGAAGACGACUACGGAAUGAAAAUUCAGUGGUUCCGUUAGCUCCGUAAGGUGAUUUCGGGGUUGGGGGCAUAUUCGGAAUGUGUUUUGGAUGUCCAUAGCUCAUUUAGGCUUAGGCUAGAAAUGCCAAAAGUUAUAAUCUUGAAGUUUCCGGUCCAAUAGUGAAUUUUUUAUCCCAGGGUCGGAACGGGGUUUCGAAUUUGCUGUAGCACUUUCAUGUCAUUCGGGAUGUUCGUGCAAAAUUUCAGGUCAAUCGGAUAUAUUUUGGUUAGGUGUUUGAUUGAAAGCGAGUUUGGUUGGAAUUUGAAGUUCUUAGGUUCAAAUUAUUGAUUAAUUCGAGUUUCUGGCGUUAUUUUAGGUGGUUUAAGUAUUGGUACAAGUUUGAAUGAUGUUAUGGGAUAUGUAUAAAGGUUUGAUUGAGGCCCCGAGGGCUUCGGGUGUGUUUUCUGACGCUCAAUGGAGCAUUUUUGGAGUUUGAAAUAUUGCAGAAAUCUCUUCAGAUUUUGCAGGCCAUUUUUUCCUUCGCGAUCACGUUCCCUCUCACGCGAUCGCAUAGAUCAAUCUUAGAGAGGCCCAAAUUCCUUAAUCGUGAUGGCAUGGAUUGGUUCGCAAUCACGUAACUCUACCUCUCCCUCUUACGCGUUCGCAUCUUAUCCCCCGCGUUCACGUAGUAGAAACUGAGCCGGUGACUCACUGGCCCAUUCCCUCUUCGAGUUCGCGUGCCUUCAUACGCGAUUGCGUAAGGCCAUCUUCUCCUCGUUCGAGAUUGCAUGCUUCUUCUCGCGAUCACAUAGGCCUUUUUCCUGGAGCGUCUAUUUUACUCUUCGUGAACACAGCCCUAUCUUCGCGGUCGGGAUUUACUAAUUACCUGGGCAGACUUAACAGUUCAAAAACGAGGGUUCUUCCAUUUUUAACAAAACUCAAGCUAGAGAGCUCAAAUUUGAGAUAUUUUUCGAUGGUUUUUUAGAAGCAACGAUUGGGUAACGAUUCCUUACUCCUCUAUGAUUAAUACCCAUUAAUCUAACCUCAAAUUCAACCUUUAAUUUUGUAUUUUGAAUGAAAAUUGGGGUAAAGUUCUUAGACGUAAUUGUGAGGAUUUGAGGGGGCAUUUGACCUCCGAUUUAGGAGAUUUUUAUAUGGUUAGACUCGUGAGAGUACGAAGUUUCUGAAAAUGUGAAAAUUAUUCAAUUCUGAGACGUUGGCCUGAGGGGAAUUUUGGUCAUUUUACCAAUUUUCGCAUCUUAGCUUUAAUUUUAAUAGUGUAAUUGGUCACUUGUGAUGUUAUUUAUAAUAUGUAAUUGGUUUGAAUAGAUUUGGGAUACUCGGAGUUGGAUAAUCGCUUCGAUCCCUUCAUUUAUGUGCCAGAAUAAAGAGAGAUUUGGUAGGAAAGUAGAAGAGACCGAUAAUCAAAGGGAGUGGGAAAGCUGCUGGCAAGGGCACCGUUUCAUAGUGAUUUUGUACUGGUUCGAGGUAAGUGGCUUGUGUAACCUUUUGUAGGGUACCUCUCCCCUUAGGGAUUCUUAUCUGCUGGUUCAAAAGCCUUGUACGCGAGGUGACGAGUGUGUACUUGUGCUAAUUGUUGAAAGAUCCACUUUACUUGAAUGGUUUAAACCGUGUUUCUCCGUUUAUUUGACUGAUUUCAAAUGCAAGAUUAAUCUUUUUAGUUAGAAAAGCAUGAUUAGAUAGAAUUAAUUGCUAAAUUACUUAUUUGCCUAAAUUGUAAUAUGUGAAGCAUGCUAGGUUAGUCAUACUUAAUUGUUGUUGUUCCAUAUUUGAUUUAUUCUGUUAAUUCUUGGUUGUGGUUGCGCAGGUAAAUUGGGACUACAAGUUCGAUUCCCGGAAGAUCCUCCAGGUAAUGAUAUGAUGGACUACAGGUUCGAUUCCCGAAAGAUCCUCCAGGUAUUGAUACAAUGGACUACGGGUUCAAUUGAGAUCCUCUAGGUAUUUAUAGGAUGGACUACUGGUUCAAUUCUUGAAAGAUCCUCCGGGUAUUGAUGUUAUGAACUACGGGUUCAAUUCCCGAAAGAUCCUCCAAGUCAUGUAUGAUGGACUAUGGGUUUAGUUCCCGGGAGAUCCUCCAAGUCUUGGUAUGAUGGACUACGGGUUCGAUUCCCGGGAGAUCCUCUAGGUAGUGAUAUCUUGUUGUGUUAUCUUCCUUACUUAGCUUAAUUGUCGUUGACUUGUAGCUUCUAUCUUAUUUCUAUUGUUGUUUUUCCUGAUUAUUCUCUAUCUUACAGUGUUCAUUAUUGUUAUCAUGUUUAUUCUUAGUAGGGCUCUGACUUUCCUCUCCAGUAUUCAACCGAGGUUAGGCUUGGAGCUUACUGAGUACCGCUGUGGUGUACUCAUACCUCUUCUGCGCAUGUCUUUCAUGCGCAGAUCCAGGUACUUCUGGUCAGGCACACUAUCAGUGAUUUAGGAGCUAUACUCUGAGACUUGAGGUAUGCAUCUUCCGCGUCCGCAGAUCCAAAGAGUCUCCAUCUCAUUCUACCUAUAAUUAGCUAGUUGCUAUUUCGUUCUUCUUGUAUUAGAAUAUUAUGGUGAUUAGAGCAUCGUAUGUUCUUUUCUAGCAUGUGUAGCCCAUGGGAUUCCGAAUUUUGGGAGUAUUUACAGUAUUUGAUAUUUCAACGUAUUGUGCCAGGCGU